CACGUUCUUUCUUGAAAAUUAUACUUUUUUACGGAUAUGGAGUGGAUUUUGGUUUUUAUUAUCGGCUGUAUUGUGGGAUUUCUAAUAUCGCAGCAUACAUAGUUGCGGUUUGUAUAAAUUGGUCUAGAAAUGGUCGACAGUCUACUUGAAGCGUACAUUAGGUGUUCUUUAAAAAAAAACAAAAUUUUCCGUUUUUAGCUGCGGAGAUUUUAGUUCUAUUAGAAAAUAUGCAGCGGUUUAUUACUUUCGUUGUUGGAGGAAUCGUUGGUUUUCUCGUUGCCAAGAAUACCCGUUAAACAUCAUGGCCUAUGUCAUCUGCUUUGGAAUGGGCAUGGUGUUCGGCAUGUUCGUAUGCCGACGUUGCGAGCCCUGAUUGAGAAGACUUAAGAACCCUAUCAUAGCCCUUCAGGAAUUCAAGAUCUAGAGUGCCCACUUCUAUCACAUGGACUUUGAAUAAACAAUUCCCCACAAAG